rnacentral:lncRNA from 1 species
CUUCCUGAAGCAGCAGACCAGCCCCUGCAGGUUGCCUUUUGCUACACCGGACUUGGCAGAUUUCUCCCCUUUGUAACCAUGAUAGACAUCACUAAUUGAUGUCAGAACUGUUUCCUG